rnacentral:tRNA from 1 species
UCCCUGGUGGCUCAGCUGGUAAAGAAUCCACCUGCAAUGUGGGAGACCUGGGUUUGAUCCCUGACUUGGGAA